UCGGGGCGCAGACAACCCAAUGUACAGGUCAUUCGAAUCGGGAGUUCCUUUCAGACGUUCUUUUCCUUAUUGAAGAAUAAUUUCUUUAAUUUACCAUUUUCUUUUUAUAAUUACGUAUAUAUCAAGAAUCAAAAAGUAUGAAAACUAUUUUACAAAACAAAUUGUUAUCAAUAAGUUUCGAAAAAUUCAAGUGAGAUUUUAAUGGGAAGCGUAUAAAAUGGAACGGAUGGAGGGGAACUUUUGAUGAAGGGCAAGAGGAAGGGAAAAAUGCCGGCUGGCAAGCAGAUGGUUGCUCCGUUUAUUGGUUUAUUCUAUGUCCAACCCAACUAAAGUUCUUUUGUGUUGGAGAGAGAAAGAGAGAGAGAGAGUGAAAAACUUUUUACACAAGAGAGCUCAACAACCAGCAUCACCAACGACAAUGUUUCGCGCCAUCGAGAAACGACCAAGGGAGAGAAGUUCAUUCACAAGAGAGAUGUGCAUAGAUGAUAACCAUAAUGAAAGAAAUAGAGGAAAUAGGCACUCUAGACACUUCUGACAAGGCAAACGAAGCAGUAUUAAUGUGGAAAAUUAUAUGCUCAGGGGAAAGCAACGCAAACUUAAAACGACGUCGGUUUUGGCGUCGCAGUUUCAUAUACAUAUAUAUAUGUAUAUAAGCCGAAUAAAAUGCGUCCAUAAUGGCGUCUUUCGUUGGACGUCGACGGAUCGAUAAAGGGGGACUCAUGGUCUACAAAACCUAAAAACCACCCCUUUAUUACACCCCUCAGUUACUUUUGCCACCAGUCGUAGAAAGCAUCUCGCAAUGGAUUAACAUCUCUCUCUUUCUCUCUCUCUUUCUAUCUCUCUUUCUCUCUCUCUCUCUUUCCCAAGGGAGGAAAUUAUAUACAAACACAAAAUAAGCAGAAGUCAACGAUUCCUGUCAAACAACAAACAAAAAUUUCCAAAGAUUUUUGAAGACACUUUUAAAGAAGGAUUAGGAUACAUUUAAACGCAUUUGCAUGGAUUUAUCUUUAUAUUUAAACUCCCAAGUGAGACUAAUUUGCCGCUGAGAAUAUCUCUUGGGGGACUGGUUUUUCAUGCGGUAUAAGAAGAAGAAGAAGAAGAAGAAGAAAAAAAAUUAGCCUAAUCCUCCAGGGAUUACAAAGAAUUAAAUAUACGCAAAGGAUAUGCAGAAAUGAUAAUUUGAGCCAAAAAAAAAAUGAUUUUUUCAUUUAUUUUUUUUUCCAAUAAUUGAAAAAUUAAUGAAGAUAAUAUUUAUUCAAUUAUCUGAAUACAAAAAAACAAACCGAAUAUAGAAUGAGGUUCAAAAACAAAAGGAAAAUAUUAUUUCGUAUAUAUAAAGUUUGGAGAGGAAGAAAUAUAAUAUGAAAAGCACAGUGGCCAAGUGACCUGAACUAAUGCAAUGUGUCGGUGUAUAUAUAUAUAUAUUUAUACUGACAGACAAAAUAGGAAUAAAAGAAGUUGUAUCCGCUAACAAUAAGAAGAGAACGCGUCCUUGCCACAAUCAGCUGUGUCAUCCUUGGUCCGUUAACGCUCAGAUGGUUCGCGUAUCAAUCACUAUCGGUAGUUCAGGUGAUCGUUCAGGUGUGUAAGAUAAUCACGCUGCCCCAAGAUAACCUCAACCGAUAAAUAUAUAUAUAUAUAUAGCACACGAACUCUUAUCUGACAAAAGAUUUAUCUUCAAAAUUUAACCUGCAUUUUGAAAAUUAGACCAUCGCCUAAUCAUUCAGAAAAAGGAAAAAACAAUUAACACACUGGGCCAAGAAAGAAAAGCAGCGAAAAAAAAAUAAUUGGAAAUGGAAAAUGUGCGCGUGAGAGAAGGCCCAGUUAAUGCUCUACAUCUACCCUGUAGAUCCGAAUUUGUUUGAUAACAGGCGACAAAUUCGGUUCUAGAGAGGUUUGUGUGGUGCAUACAAUGCUACAAUGGUCUCGUACAAUGUACAAUGCUCUCAAGGCACAAAAGAAGAAUUCAAAAUGAUGAUUCGAAAUUGAAGAAUAUGCAACACACACACACACAUACACACACCCUUUUAAGAAAAUCGAUUAAUCAAUGACUCUUCCACAUUAUAUUUAUAGACUAUUGUAAUAAUUAUCAAUCCUCAUUCAUAAUAUUAUGAUUCAUUGAUCUAUAUUCUAUUCAAUAGCAAUAUUAAUUUUCAAUAAUAAAUGCAGCAAAAAAAAUUAAACUAUUUUUACUAAUUAAAUAAAAAUUAAUUUAAUUGAAAAACUAUUACAAUUGAUAAUAACAAAUCAUAAAAUCAAAAAAAAAUUUUUUUAAUAUACAAUCAAAAAAGUGACAAUGAAAAUUUUUUCAAUCUGUUCAAAAUCAAUUUGUAGAUAGUGAAAAAAUAUACUUGUGAAAAUUA